rnacentral:lncRNA from 1 species
GGAUGUAUGAGAUGUAUGAGAGGUAUGAGAGGUACUGGAGGUACGGGAGGUAUUAGAUGUACUGGAGGUAGAGGUAUUGGAGGUAUGAGAGGUAUUAGAGGUAGAGGUAUUAGAGGCAUGACAGGUGUAUGAGAGGUACUAGAGUUAUGAGAGGUAUUAGAGGUAUUGGAGGUAGGAGAGGUAUUACGGAUAGAUGUAUUAGAGGUAGAGGUAUUAAAUAUAUUAGAGGUAUGAGAGAUAGAGGUAUUGGAUGUAUGAGAGGUAUUGGAGGUAUGAGACGUAUUGGAUGUAUGAGAAGUACGAGAGGGAUUAGAGGUAGAGGUAUUGGAGGUAUGAGAGGUAUGGGAGGUAUAAGAGGUAUGGGAGGUAGGGGUAUGAGAAGUAUGAGAGGUAUAGGUAUGACAUGUAUUGGAGGUAUGAGGGGUAUUAGACGUAUGAGAGUUACUAGAAAAGGUAUGAAAGGUAUUAAAGGAAGAGGUAUGAGAGGUAUUAGAGGUAUGAGGGGUAUUAGAGGUAUGAGGGGUAUUAGAGGUAGAGGUAUGAGAGGGAUGUGAGGUAUGAGAUGUAUUAGAGGUAUUGGAGGUAGAGGUAUGAGAGGUGUGAGAGGUAGAGAUAUUAAAGGUAGAGGUAUGAGAGGUAUUAGAGGCAGAGGUAUUAGAGGUAUGAGAGGUUUGAAAGGUAUGAGAGGUAUGAAAGGUAUUGGAGGUUUGAAAGGUAUGAGAGGUAUUGGAGGUAUUACAGUUAUUAGAGGUAUGCUAAGAGACUAUGACAUCAUGACAGGAGCCCUGGAUUAACAGGGGGAGAAGGCUAUUACGUCCAGUGGAACAUUGUGUAGUAGUAAUGUGUUAUAUAUUAGACUGAAUGACACACUGAACGUGUUAUAUAGAAUAAAAAUGCUUUAUUUUAUAAUACCCAUGGUAACAAUUACAUGAUUUUAUUUGUAAUGAAUUGUUCAAAUACCUGGAAAGGUGAUGUAGACUAGUGUCGAGUAAGCUAUUAUAGAUUUAGAAUAUCACCAUACAUUUCAUGACCCCCCCCAAAACAAAACUUUGUGACUAUUUCACAUGAUCAUUUAGUCAAUUCUAAAGAGGGAAAAACAUAAUUCCAUCAUUAUUAU